AUACGGCCAUAUCAAGUUAAAGUAACGGUUCUCGUACGAUGACCGAAGUUAAGCAACGUCGAGCCUGGUCAGUAUCUAAAUGGGUGACCGCUUCCAAAUGCCAGGUGCUGUAAG